AGGGGCCUCCUGCGCCUACUAGUAGGCUCAGAAGGCCGUGAUCAUCCAUCCAAAUGGUUGAUCACCCACAAAUAUACAAGAGAAGACUCCAGAUCCAAUCCCAGAAUUCCUGCUCACCGGUAAUCGGAAGUCUACUGGACGAAAGCGGCAACGUUGCGAUAUUUCCUGCUUAAUAUUUUCAGAUAUGGGAAAAGCUCUUAAGAUGACCACACGUUUCAGGAACGUUAAAAUUAAGUUGGUAAGGAGGUCUAUUGCGGGCCCUGCAAAGUUUUCUUACCUCAGUCAAGGUCUUCCUCAGCCCAGCUACAAACAGACCCACCCUUCAGACCCUUCUAUUACAUCUCAACUGGCUGAACCUGAUGAUGUGACACAAAGCUGUUCUGAGAGCGCAUACAGUAAGGCAAAGAAGAGAGAGCUUCAUGCCUGGGAUGCAGUCAAGGAUGAGAUGCUUAAGGUGACGUUUGAAUGUUCAGCAUCAGUCACUACCCAGUGUGCUGUCUGCAGAGAACAUGCUGAUUAUAGGUGCAUUGAGUGCAGCUCCACUGCAGUGUUCUGUGAGGUUUGCCUGAAGAGGACUCACAGAAAUUCACUGCAUCUUCCUGAAAAGUGGAACGUAAGAACAAUAGCAUACCGUCUUACAUUGCUAUUGCUAUACUUGCAUACAGACAGCAAACUCACAGUAAUCUCAACAGAUUCAUUAGAUACUUCAAAUUGUUUUAGCACUAUGCAGUAUCAACUGUUAGUGUCACAAGUUUGUUGUUUUAAAAACAUUAGAGCUAUCCAUCUUUCUUACAGAAUGUUUACUAUGAGCCAUCCUCCCUGGGGUUAUUCUUAUAUUUACCUGAAGGCCAUGGCACCCAUGCUGUGUACACAAAGGACAUGAAGGUCAUUGUCAGCACAGGAUGGCUCUGCACAGUUACAGUCACCAUGUGUGCGUGUGAACCAGAAACCUGUACUCUGCUGAGGUAUGGGCUCUGACCAGCAACAGCCACAAGCCCCAGACAGCCUUCUCCAUCCCUUUGCUAGAGCUUUCUGUUUCUCUGUCACUGGAGUGUCAGGUUUCUGUUGAGGGUUUUUGCAACACCCCAUAUCCCAUUUUAGGCAUCACCACUUCCGACAAAGAAGUUUGGUUGAUAUUUGCCCACAAUUAAAUGAUGGAACCAUUUUCCCAGCAUGUCCAAAGGCGGAUGGAGAUAUGAUUGUCACAUUGGAUGCCAACUUUGGCCUUUUGAGGAAGCAAAGCUCCAGUACAAGUGCGGUUGAUCCAUUACACAGAACCCGCAUGUUUAGAGGGAUACCUGCUAUCACAUCUUGACAGCUCAAAGCCUCAAGAGGACUGCAGUAAGCUGCUCUCAUUCAAGGUCUCCAACAGCUGGAAAGAAAAUGACAUCAAGCCACUGUGAUGUUUCACCCACAUGCACAAGACAUUAUAGAUAUAUAAUAUAAUAUAAUUAUAAUAUAUAAAUAAUUUAAUUACUUUACUGCAUUACUUGUGCAGACAUGUUGUUUUACUAGGUCUGAUCUAUUUAAGCUUAGGCACUGUAUUUAAGCAUACAUAUCCCCACUAGUCUGUCUGUAUGAGUACAAAAUUAAAAAAAUAAACUGUCUAUAAUUGUUAAUGUACAAGCACAGUAAAAUAUUUAUAUAAAAAAUAUUGCACUACUGUUAUUUUGCAUAGAAUACAUUGUUCAACAAUA